rnacentral:tRNA from 1 species
CGGAACAUAGUUUAACGAGAACGUCGGCUUUGGGGGUCGGUGGUGGGGGUUUAAUUCCCCUUGUUUCGA